rnacentral:rRNA from 1 species
UACGAAGGGGGCUAGCGUUGUUCGGAAUUACUGGGCGUAAAGUGCACGUAGGCGGAUUUGUAAGUCAGGGGUGAAAUCCCGGGGCUCAACCUCGGAACUGCCUUUGAUACUGCAAGUCUUGAGUCCGGAAGAGGUGAGUGGAAUUCCUAGUGUAGAGGUGAAAUUCGUAGAUAUUAGGAAGAACACCAGUGGCGAAGGCGGCUCACUGGUCCGGUACUGACGCUGAGGUGCGAAAGCGUGGGGAGCAAACAGG